rnacentral:misc_RNA from 1 species
UCAAACUUGGUCAUUUAGAGGAAGUAAAAGUCGUAACAAGGUUUCCGUAGGUGAACCUGCGGAAGGAUCAUUACUGAAGUAAACUAGGCUUUGGAUUGAGCUGCCUAUCCGUAGGACGUGCUCGUCUCUGGUCCUAUUCUUCUAUCUCCCACUGUGCACCUUUUGUAGGAACUGUCUUGACGGCUUCUCAGUUAGAGACUCCUUUAAUGGCUCGUCUAGUUGGAAUAUUCAAGGUUGGGACUUGCGUGCUUGUACCACCUUAUAGUUCCCAUGCUUGCUGUUGGGCCGAUCUCUGGUAGCUGUCGUCGGGAUCCUACGUUCUACAUAUACUACUUAAAGUCUAUGAAUGUUUGAUUAUCGGUCUUUAUAGACUUGAUAUAACUCUAUACAACUUUCAGCAACGGAUCUCUUGGCUCUCGCAUCGAUGAAGAACGCAGC